AUGAACGCUGGCGGCGUGCCUAAUACCUGCCAGUCGCGCGAACAGACGAGGAGCUUGCUCCUCUGACGUUAGCGGCGGACGGGUGAGUAACACGUGGAUAACCUACCUAUAAGACUGGGAUAACUUCGGGAAGCCGGAGCUAAUACCGGAUAAUAUAUUGAACCGCAUGGUUCAAUAGUGAAAGACGGUUUUGCUGUCACUUAUAGAUGGAUCCGCGCCGCAUUAGCUAGUUGGUAAGGUAACGGCUUACCAAGGCGACGAUGCGUAGCCGACCUGAGAGGGUGAUCGGCCACACUGGAACUGAGACACGGUCCAGACUCCUACGGGAGGCAGCAGUAGGGAAUCUUCCGCAAUGGGCGAAAGCCUGACGGAGCAACGCCGCGUGAGUGAUGAAGGUCUUCGGAUCGUAAAACUCUGUUAUUAGGGAAGAACAAAUGUGUAAGUAACUAUGCACGUCUUGACGGUACCUAAUCAGAAAGCCACGGCUAACUACGUG
rnacentral:rRNA from 1 species